GAUGAACGCUGGCGGCGUGCCUAAUACAUGCAAGUCGAGCGAAUGGAUUAAGAGCUUGCUCUUAUGAAGUUAGCGGCGGACGGGUGAGUAACACGUGGGUAACCUGCCCAUAAGACUGGGAUAACUCCGGGAAACCGGGGCUAAUACCGGAUAAUAUUUUGAACUGCAUGGUUCAAAAUUGAAAGGCGGCUUCGGCUGUCACUUAUGGAUGGACCCGCGUCGCAUUAGCUAGUUGGUGAGGUAACGGCUCACCAAGGCAACGAUGCGUAGCCGACCUGGGAGGGUGAUCGGGCCAACUGGGACUGAGACACGGCCCAGACUCCUACGGGAGGCAGCAGUAGGGAAUCUUCCGCAAUGGACGAAAGUCUGACGGAGCAACGCCGCGUGAGUGAUGAAGGCUUUCGGGUCGUAAAACUCUGUUGUUAGGGAAGAACAAGUGCUAGUUGAAUAAGCUGGCACCUUGACGGUACCUAACCAGAAAGCCACGGCUAACUACGUGCCAGCCGCCGCGGUAA
rnacentral:rRNA from 1 species